UUUUAUGGCAAUGAAUCUGAAACUGUUGUGGCACAUCUUACCAAGUUGAAUGAUAUAGCCAACCUAUUUACUAAUGAUGAGAAGUCUCGCUAUUAUUAUAUCCUUAAGAUAUUUCCAUUCUCAUUAAAGGGUGAUGCUAAAACUUGGUUUAAUUCCCUUGAUCCUGGUUGUGUGCGUAGUCCCCAAGAUAUGAUUUAUUACUUCUCCGCUAGAUAUUUCCCUGCUCAUAAGAAACAAGCUGCCUUGCGGGAAAUAUAUAAUUUUGUGCAAAUCAAAGAAGAGAGUCUCCCACAAGCUUGGGGGAGGCUUCUUCGAUUACUUAAUGCUUUGCUUGAUCACCCUCUUAAGAAAAAUAAAAUACUUGAUGUCUUUUAUAAUGGACUAACCGAUGCUUCCAAGGACUACUUGGAUAGUUGUGCUGGUUGUGUUUUCAGGGAAAGAACAGUCGACCAAGCUGAAUUGUUAUUGAAUAAUAUGUUGACAAAUGAAAAUAAUUGGACUCUUCCUGAGCCAAUUCCUAAAGCAAUUCCUGAACCAAUUGAGCCAACUCCUGAGCCUAUUCCUAAACCUACUCCGAAGAAGAGAGGUGUUCUAUUU
rnacentral:rRNA from 1 species